CCUACGGGUGGCUGCAGUGAGGAAUAUUGGUCAAUGGUCGGGAGCCUGAACCAUCCAAGUAGCGUGAAGGAUGACUGCCCUACGUGUCGUAAACUUCUUUUAUAAAGGAAUAAAGUGAGGCACGUGUGCCUGUUUGUAUGUACUUUAUGAAUAAGGAUCGGCUAACUCCGUGCCAGCAGCCGCGGUAAUACGGAGGAUUCGAGCGUUAUCCGGAUUUAUUGGGUUUAAAGGGAGCGUAGGUGGUUUGUUAAGUCAGUUGUGAAAAUUUGCGGCUCAACCGUAGACUGGCAAUUGAUACUGGCAGCCUUGAAUACAGUAGAGGUAGGCGGAAUGCGUGGUGUAGCGGUGAAAUGCUUAGAUAUCGCGCAGAACUCCGAUUGCGAAGGCAGCAUACUAA
rnacentral:rRNA from 1 species